GAUGAACGCUGGCGGCGUGCCUAAUACAUGCAAGUCGAGCGAACGGACGAGAAGCUUGCUUCUCUGAUGUUAGCGGCGGGCGGGUGAGUAACACGUGGAUAACCUACCUAUAAGACUGGGAUAACUUCGGGAAACCGGAGCUAAUACCGGAUAAUAUUUUGAACCGCAUGGUUCAAAAGUGAAAGACGGUCUUGCUGUCACUUAUAGAUGGAUCCGCGUUGCAUUAGCUAGUUGGUAAGGUAACGGGUUACCAAGGCAACGAUGCAUAGCCGACCUGAGAGGGUGAUCGGCCACACGGGAACGGAGACACGGUCCAGACUCCUACGGUAGGCAGCAGUAGGGAAUCUUCCGCAAUGGGCGAAAGCCUGACGGAGCAACGCCGCGUGAGUGAUGAAGGUCUUCGGAUCGUAAAACUCUGUUAUUAGGGAAGAACAUAUGUGUAAGUAACUGUGCACAUCUUGACGGUACCUAAUCAGAAAGCCACGGCUAACUACGUG
rnacentral:rRNA from 1 species